rfam:Parcubacteria bacterium GW2011_GWA2_47_7 TY04_C0032, whole genome shotgun sequence.
CCAAUAGAACCCAAGGGUGUAUGGUGGAUGCCUUGACACUAAGAGGCGAUGAAGGACGUGGCGUAGCUGCGAUAAGCGAGGGGGAGGCGUAUAGCAACCUUUGAUCCCUCGAUUUCCGAAUGAGGCAACUCACAUGGUUUGAAGACCGUGUACUCCACGAUGUGGAGAGCGAACCCGGGGAAGUGAAACAUCUCAGUACCCGGAGGAAAAAAGAACAAUAGUUAUUCCCGAAGUAGCGGCGAGCGAAAGGGGAACAGCCCAAACCUGUAUGCGCCACAGGCGAUCUUCGUAAGAGGAUUUCCUGUGGCAUGUAUAGGGGUUGUAGGGUAGGGACGGAGUUUACUCGGAAAGUUACAAAUUGUACGUAUAGAAGAAUUUGCUGGAAAGCAAAGCCCCAGAGGGUGAUAGCCCCGUAGUCGAAAUGCGAACAACUUUCUUGUCCUUAUACCUGAGUACUCCAAGACACGAAUAGCUUGGAGGAAGCUAGCGGAACUAACCGUUAAGGCUAAAUACUACUUAGUGAUCGAUAGUGAACUAGUACCGUGAGGGAAAGGUGAAAAAUAGUCCGGGAGGACGUUGAAAUAGAUCUGAAACCAUACAUCUACAAGGAGUCAGCGAGGUCAGCAUAUUGCGCGAGAACAUAUCUCGUCGUGUCACGUUUGUGAUACUUCGAGCUUUCGUACGUAAUAUGCUGACCUCCAUGGCGUGCCUAUUGAAGAAUGAGCCAACGAGUUAAUGCAUGCGGUUGCCUAAACCCAUCCGGGGUGGAGGCUUAGGGAAACCGAGUAUGAAUAGUGCGAAUAUAUCGUAUGCAUUAGACCCGAAACCUGGUGAGCUUGCCAUGAGCAGGGUGAAGUUUGUAGAAAUACAGAUGGAGGCCCGAACUCGUUAGUCGUGCGACUCUAUGGGAUGACUUGUGGCAAGGAGUGAAAAGCUAAUCGAACUGGGAAAUAGCUGGUUCUCUCCGAAAUAUGUUUUGGCAUAGCGUCUGAAGUACCCCUGGGGGGUAGAGCACUGGAUGGGCUGAAUAGGGAGAAAUCUCGUCAAUCCAACCAAACUCCGAAUACCCAGGAUGAACGUUUCAGGCAGUAAGACUCCGGGGGCGAAGCUCCGGUGGUCAAAAGGGAAACAGCCCAGAUCUCAAGUUAAGGUCCCUAAAUCUAUGCUCAGUGCAGUUUGAAGGUGGUGGGGUUUCUUCGACAGUGAGGAGGUUGGCUUAGAAGCAGCCAUCCUUUAAAGAAAGCGUAACAGCUCACUCACUAAGAGACCCUGCGCCGAAGAUAAUCGGGGCUAAGCAUAGUACCGAAACUGAGGACUUGUCGUUUUUUCGAAAACGGGGAGUGGUAGGAGAGCGUUCCAAUCCGCGUUGAAGCUUAAGCCGUGAGGCAAGGUGGAGCGUUUGGAAGUGCGUAUGUUGGCACAAGUAACCGCAAUGCAGGUGAGAAUCCUGCACGCCGAAAGACUAAGGUUUCCUUUGCGAUGAUAAUCAGCGAAGGGUUAGUCGGUCCUAAGGGGAUGGUGAUAACCGAACCCGAUGGAUACAUGGUUAAUAUUCCAUGACUUCG